GACGAACGCUGGCGGCGUGCUUAACACAUGCAAGUCGAGCGGCGCGGCCAACGGGUGAGUAACGCGUGAGUAACUGCCCCCCUCCCUGGGGAAACAGUUGGAAACGGCUACUAAUACCGGAUAGUGGGGGAUGAGUCUGGUCCUAUGAGCGUGUUGGUGGGGUAGGGGCCUACCAAGGCGACGACGGGUAGCCGGCCUGAGAGGUGGACCGGCCACAUUGGGCUGAGCUACGGCCCAGACUCCUACGGGAGGCAGCAGUGGGGAAUAUUGCACAAUGGGGGAAACCCUGAUGCAGCAACGCGCGUGAGGGAUGAAGGCCUUCGGGUUGUAAACCGCUUUCAGCGAGGAGGAGUAAGGUUAAUAACCUUGGUGAUUGACGUUACUCGCAGAAGAAGCACCGGCUAACUCCGUGCCAGCAGCCGCGGUAAUAC
rnacentral:rRNA from 1 species